AACGAACGCUGGCGGCAUGCCUAACACAUGCAAGUCGAACGAGACCUUCGGGUCUAGUGGCGCACGGGUGCGUAACGCGUGGGAACCUGCCCUUAGGUUCGGAAUAACUCCCCGAAAGGGGUGCUAAUACCGGAUAAUGUCUUCGGACCAAAGAUUUGGUGCUUUUGGAUGGGCCCGCGUUGGAUUAGCCUGUUGGUAGGGUAAAGGCCUACCAAGGCUACGAUCGGUAGCUGGUCUGUGAGGAUGAGCAGCCACACUGGGACUGAGAUAAGGCCCAGACCCCGACGGGAGGGAGGAGUGGGGAAGAGUGUACAAGGGGAGGAAGCAAGAUGCAGCCACGCAGAGCGCGGGAGGAGGGCAAGCGGGUUGGAAUGAGAUUUCGUUUGUGACGAAGUGUGAGUGACGGUACGGGGUAAAGAAGCACCGGCUAACUCCGUG
rnacentral:rRNA from 1 species